UACAGGGGGUGCAAACGUUGCUCGGAAUUAUUGGGCGUAAAGCGCGCGUAGGCGGCUACUUAUGUCGGAUGUGAAAGCCCUUGGCUCAACUGAGGAAGCGCACCCGAAACUGAGUAGCUGGAGUACGAAAGAGGGUCGCGGAAUUCCCGGUGUAGAGGUGAAAUUCGUAGAUAUCAAGUGGAACACCAGUGGCGAAGGCGAGUCUCUGGACAUUUCCUGACGCUGAGGCACGAAAGCCAGGGGAGCAAACGGG
rnacentral:rRNA from 1 species